rnacentral:rRNA from 1 species
GUAUGCUCACCAGACGACGACGGUAGCCGCCUGAGAGGGCGACCGCCACACUGGGACUGAGACACGGCCAGACUCUACGGAGGCAGCAGUGGGAAUAUUGCACAAUGGGGGAAACCUGAUGCAGCGACGCAGCGUGCGGGAUGACGGCCUUCGGGUUGUAAACCGCUUUCAGCAGGGAAGAAGCCCCUUGGGGUGACGGUACCUGCAGAAGAAGUACCGGCUAACUACGUGCCAGCAGCCGCGGUAAUACGUAGGGUACAAGCGUUGUCCGGAAUUAUUGGGCGUAAAGAGCUCGUAGGUGGUUGGUCACGUCUGCUGUGGAAACGCAACGCUUAACGUUGCGCGUGCAGUGGGUACGGGCUGACUAGAGUGCAGUAGGGGAGUCUGGAAUUCCUGGUGUAGCGGUGAAAUGCGCAGAUAUCAGGAGGAACACCGGUGGCGAAGGCGGGACUCUGGGCUGUAACUGACACUGAGGAGCGAAAGCAUGGGGAGCGAACAGGAUUAGAUACCCUGGUAGUCCAUGCCGUAAACGUUGGGCACUAGGUGUGGGGGACAUUCCACGUUCUCCGCGCCGUAGCUAACGCAUUAAGUGCCCCGCCUGGGGAGUACGGUCGCAAGGCUAAAACUCAAAGGAAUUGACGGGGGCCCGCACAAGCGGCGGAGCAUGCGGAUUAAUUCGAUGCAACGCGAAGAACCUUACCAAGGCUUGACAUACACCAGACCGUUCUGGAAACAGUUCCUCCCCUUUGGGGUUGGUGUACAGGUGGUGCAUGGUUGUCGUCAGCUCGUGUCGUGAGAUGUUGGGUUAAGUCCCGCAACGAGCGCAACCCUCGUUCUAUGUUGCCAGCACGUGAUGGUGGGAACUCAUAGGAGACUGCCGGGGUCAACUCGGAGGAAGGUGGGGAUGACGCCAAAUCAUCAUGCCCUUUAUGUCUUGGGCUUCACGCAUGCUACAAUGGCUGGUACAGAGAGAUGCGAGACCGCGAGGUUUUAGCGAAUCCCUUAAAGCCAGUCUCAGUUCGGAUCGUAGUCUGCAAUUCCACUACGUGAAGUCGGAGUCGCUAGUAAUCGCAGAUCAGAACGU